AGUGAACGCUGGCGGCAUGCCUAAUACAUGCAAGUCGAACGGCAACACAGUAAGAUUUUGCCCCUACGGUUAGCGGCUGGCGGGUGGGUGAGGCAUAGAUCAGAUUCCUCUUUUUCGUGGGGAAUAUCGUGGGGCAACUUACGCUACUACAUAAUACGUUCAACGGGUGAAAUCAGUAGUGCAUGGCGCCUUUGGCGACUCAAUUAGCUGAGGUCGGAUUAGCUAGUUGGCUUGGUAAGGGCCCACCAAGGCAACGAUCCGUAGCUGGCCUGAGAGGGUGAUCGGCCACACUGGAACUGAGACACGGUCCAGACUCCUACGGGAGGCAGCAGUGGGGAAUAUUGGACAAUGGGCGCAAGCCUGACCCAGCAAUACCGCGUGGGUGAUGAAGGCCUUCGGGUUGUAAAGCCCUUUUGUUGGGAAAGAACAGCAGCAGAUUAAAACCCCGCUGUUCUGACGGUACCCAAAGAAUAAGCCCCGGCUAACUACGUG
rnacentral:rRNA from 1 species